UUGGCAACCCUGUGGACUGAAGUCCUCAAUUCAUCCUCAGAACAAGUGCAGCACCUGCAGUAACUACGCAAACUCCCCAAAGCUGGCCAAAUUCAUCACACUUGUGCAAAGUGGGUGUCAAACACUGCCACAGUCGGAGUGGACAAUUCUGAUUUGGUAGCACUCCCUUUGAACA
rnacentral:sRNA from 1 species